GACGAACGCUGGCGGCGUGCUUAACACAUGCAAGUCGAACGGAAAGGCCCUGCUUUUGUGGGGUGCUCGAGUGGCGAACGGGUGAGUAACACGUGAGUAACCUGCCCUUGACUUUGGGAUAACUUCAGGAAACUGGGGCUAAUACCGGAUAGGAGCUCCUGCUGCAUGGUGGGGGAUGGAAAGUUUCGGCGGUUGGGGAUGGACUCGCGGCUUAUCAGCUUGUUGGUGAGGUAGUGGCUUACCAAGGCUUUGACGGGUAGCCGGCCUGAGAGGGUGACCGGCCACAUUGGGACUGAGAGACGGCCCAGACGCCUACGGGAGGCAGCAGGGGAGAAUAUUGCACAAUGGGCGGAAGCGUGAUGCAGCAACGCCGCGUGCGGGAUGACGGCCUUCGGGGUGUAAACCGCUGUCGCCUGUGACGAAGCGUGAGUGACGGUAAUGGGUAAAGAAGCACCGGCUAACUACGUG
rnacentral:rRNA from 1 species